GAUGAAGAACGCAGCGAAAUGCGAUAAGUAGUGUGAAUUGCAGAAUUCAGUGAAUCAUCGAAUCUUUGAACGCACAUUGCGCCCCUUGGUAUUCCAUGGGGCAUGCCUGUCCGAGCGUCAUUUGUACCUUCAAGCUUUGCUUGGUGUUGGGUGUUUGUCUCGCCUUUGCGUGUAGACUCGCCUUAAAAUAAUUGGCAGCCGGCGUAUUGAUUUCGGAGCGCAGUACAUCUCGCGCUUUGCACUCAUAACGACAGCGUCCAAAAGUACAUUUUACACUCUUGACCUCGGAUCAGGUAGGGAUACCCGCUGAACUUAAGCAUAUCAAUAAGCGGAGGA
rnacentral:misc_RNA from 1 species